AGGUGGUACGUUCCGAGGACAGAAUGGCCGCCGCGGUAGCUAGAGGUUCCAAUGGAAUCCUGCGGGAGACAAUGAAACGUUCCAUGCUGGUCUCAGCUGCCGCAGCGCCCAGCUGCUGGAGCUGCCCGCACGGAGCAAAGCGAUAUCUGUUAACAGAUGAUAUUAUACGAUUGCAAGAAUUUCAGCUGAAGAAGGUAGCAACUGAACAUCAAAUUUAUGGCAAUAAAGAUUCAUAUUUUAGAAAUAUUGAAGAAAAAUUGAAGAAAAAUGGAAUAAUCCUCAAAGGUGAAUUAAAAACAUUGUUGCAUUUGUGCCAGACACCAGACGAUGUGGAAAUAGCUAAAAAUGUUAUUUACAGGUACCAUACAGAGAACAGAAAUGUGGCCUUUGGUGAGUUUAAAUUUGGGCCCCUUUUUAUGAGGCUGUGCUAUGAGCUGGACCUUGAAGUAACUGCAAUAGAACUCAUCAAAGAUCAGACUCUGCACGGUUUCUUCUCUGAUAGCACAUCGUUCAAUAUUUUGAUGGAUAUGUUGUUUAAAAAAGGUCAUUACGAAAGUGCCUUGGAAGUGCUGGGAGAAAUGAGAAAACAACAUGUAAAAUUCAUCAAAGACACCUAUUUACUUGCAUUUGCAAUAUGCUACAAACUGAACAGCCCAGAGUCUUGCAAAAUCUGCACAAAGUUAUUUGAAGAGGCUCAGUUAAAAGGAGAUAACAUGUCAAGACGAGCAUACUGCUUUGCUGUAGCGUUUGCUCUGAAACAGAAUGAUGCGGUAAAAGCCCGGUCCUUUUAUUCUCAGAUCAUGAACACAGAGGGCAGACUAUGCAGUAAUCUUAAUGAGUGGCAGGCAACACGGAAGCGGGUUUUGAGAGCGAGGAAGAUAAUAGCUUACAACAAGGAAGCGGAGAAACCGGUUUCCCCAACAGCCAGGAUCUGUUUUUCACCCUGAACCUGGAGCCAGUACCCCCCGAACCCACACAAGGCAGGCUCCAAGACCCUGAAGGCGGAGAAGGACCUCUGCUGGAUAUGUUUCUCCUUCCCAGAAGCUAGCGAAGAUUAGAAGGCAAAAAAAACGCCCUUGUGAUGAAAUGUUCUCUGACCUCAUGCUGUCCUCCCACACUGACAGAGCACAGUAAAAUACAUGGAGGCAGACAAUCUCAGAGUGCAGGAAAACACAAUAUGACCACGAGGAGAGGUGGCGGGCUGAAGAUGGUAGGUGGCGUCAGCUUGCUGAAAGAAGGCAGGAGUCAAUGCUCAGGCUGUUGGAGAAUCAAACUCAUAUGCUCUAGCGUAUGGUUGAGCUGCAGGAAAGGCACCAGGAGAACAGACCGCUGCUACCGCCCCUGUGUAACCGCCCUCCACCCUAAGUUCCAUAGCCUCCUCACCCAGACGCCCAAGAACGCGGUGGGGGGGGCCUCUGUCCACCCAGCCACUCCGUCCCAGAGGAUUGGCCAAGCAACAGGAGGCUGGCAUUCAAUAAGGUUUAAAGUUUUAAAGUGCUGUGUGGCCUUGUCCUUCCCUCCUCCACCACCCCACCUGGGCUACCUUGGCAGUUAUCCCCCUAUUUGUGUGAUGAAUAAAUAAAGAAUGCAUGAAUGUGAA